rnacentral:misc_RNA from 1 species
GUGAAUCAUCAAAUUUUUGAACGCAAAUUGCACUCUCUGCGGAGAGUAUGCCUGUUUGAGGGUCAGCCUAAAAAAAAUCGACAUCGCUGCUGUUUCGCGGUGGCGUUCGUCGGGAAUUGGGUGAUAUUAAAUCUUUUGUUGAAGCGCCUUAGAAUUUUCUUUACGUUUCCAUGAACGUUUCCAGGCUUUAUUUCUUUACACGUUUAAGGUGUCGAUUUUAUUAUGCGGGG